AUGAAUCUAAGAUCAUUUUGGGGACAGCACUGUGCCCUGGCCACCUCAGAGGUGCCCAUGAGGUGUAGGACAUUGAGUACAAGCCCAUGCUUUACUUGGCUCAAGUGCUUGGUCAAGAUUCCGGUUUGGCUUGCAAUUGAUUUCAGGAACGCGGACAAGUCAGUUUAUAGAGUCAAUCCAUUGACGAGGAAGAGAAAACAAGCCACCUUGACCCUGACUGAACUUCCUCAGGCAUCUCCCCACCCCCAGGGCUGAGGAGCAUCUAGCUGACAGAUUCCCAGCAGCACAGCCAAGGACCAAGGCGGCAGUCCCAGGCGCCAAUGGAACAGCUCCGGGAAGGACCACGUGCACACACCCACGUUGACAAGGCAGUGAGUGGGAAGAUCAUACGUGCUACAGAGCAUCAAGUGGCCCCGCUGUCCCCCUAGGCUUCUUCCUCUAUUACAUAACAUCCUAACAAAGCUUCCCGCAGAACCAAACUACGUCUAUUUAGCUGUGCUCUGUAAAAUCACUGGAAUGCUUUGUCCACUGGCAAAACGAAAUGAUGGUUAGUCAAUUUUUACGAUGCCCCUGGUUCUGAUAGAAUUAUUACACAGCCAAAUGAAAAUCAAGAUUGUUCCUGAAUCAAGUCUUUUGCUCUGACGUCCCUAAAAGAUCCAGCUGGCGUGCUCAGCUUCAUUCCCUUUCUCCUCUUUGGUUUAUAAGAUUCAAAGAGAUUUUUAUGUUCAGGGAGAAUUGGAAACAGGAGAGCAAACAGGGUAACAGAAAGAAGGAAAGGAGCUAGAUAAUCUGUAAACUGGCAACUAGGACAGAAGUUUAUAAGAAUUAUUGGUUUAAAGAAGUACUAUUCAUAGGUCAGCCCCAUUAAGUCCAUGCUAAAACAGGACAGUCAUUAAGUUACUCAACAAAUGUUCAUUGAUCCCUGUGUGUUUGCUAUAACCCGGAGGGGACCUUGUGUUUAAGACACUUUUUCUCCCUUCUCAAUAGGUUCAACACCUCACCUGGCCACCACUUGGGCUCAGCCACAGAAGGAAUCUUGCCCCCCUACCCCUGCCACACACAAACUCCCCAUGUGCUGCUACCUCUGUACAUCUUCCCAGGAAGGAGGCUAAACUCCACUGGCUCUUCUUUUCAGUUCAAUGACCAUGGCUUGAGGUCCCAUUCUUGUCUUCCAUAAUUUCUAGAAACUUGAUAACUAGAGUAACAACCUUGAAAUCAUUCUUCAUAACACAUUUUUCCUUCUGUAACAUUCUCU
ensembl:lncRNA